rfam:Verrucomicrobiaceae bacterium GAS474 genome assembly, chromosome: I
GCCGCUUUAGCUCGGCGGUAGAGCACCAGUUUUGCAAACCGAUGGUUGUCAGUUCAACCUCGACAAGCAUCU